ensembl:snRNA U6 U6 spliceosomal RNA
GCUCACUUCAGCAGCACAUUCUAAACUUGCAAGGAUACAGAGAAGAUUAGCGUGGAGGAUGACAUGCAUGUUCAUGAAGUUUUCCAUGUUAAA